AUGAACGCUGGCGGCGUGCCUAAUACAUGCAAGUCGAGCGAACGGACGAGAAGCUUGCUUCUCUGAUGUUAGCGGCGGACGGGUGAGUAACACGUGGAUAACCUACCUAUAAGACUGGGAUAACUUCGGGAAACCGGAGCUAAUACCGGAUGAUAUUUUGAACCGCAUGGUUCAAAAGUGAAAGACGGUCUUGCUGUCACUUAUAGAUGGAUCCGCGCUGCAUUAGCUAGUUGGUAAGGUAACGGCUUACCAAGGCAACGAUGCAUAGCCGACCUGAGAGGGUGAUCGGCCACACUGGAACUGAGACACGGUCCAGACUCCUACGGGAGGCAGCAGUAGGGAAUCUUCCGCAAUGGGCGAAAGCCUGACGGAGCAACGCCGCGUGAGUGAUGAAAGUCUUCGGAUCGUAAAACUCUGUUAUUAGGGAAGAACAUAUGUGUAAGUAACUGUGCACAUCUUGACGGUACCUAAUCAGAAAGCCACGGCUAACUACGUG
rnacentral:rRNA from 1 species